rnacentral:lncRNA from 1 species
AAAUGGAUUGAUCACUGUCCUCUGUGAUGAUCUUUUGAUUGGGAGCAUUCAGAAAUUAACUACUAAUUAAUAUAUAUCUCAAAUUUUUAACUCUUUAAGUAUAUAUAAAAAAUCAUCUUUAUUAAUUUUUAGGAUAUAUUAUGAACACAAAUAUAUGAUUGAAAAGAAAAAGCUUUUUAUUGAUAAUAAAAAAUUAUAAGUAUAAGUAUAGGCUUAAGAAUUACAUAAUGUGUCAGCC